GUGCUCACUUCAGCAGCACAUAUACUAAAAUUGGAAUAAUACAGAGAAGAUUAGCCUGACUCUUGCACAUGUAUAACACACAAAUUCAUGAAGCGUUCCAUAUUUUA